rnacentral:lncRNA from 1 species
GGCUUGGCACAUAGUAGCUAUUGCUACUAUUAUGAAUGUUGUUUUGUCUUUGUUUUUGUUUUGAGACAGGGCCUCACUCUGUUGCCCAGGUUGGAGUACAGCAGUGCCAUCAUAGCUCACUGAAGAUGUUAUCCCAACAGUGCAGAAGCACAGCCUGAGUCUCUUCUUUGGCUGAGCCAAGGGCGUGCUGGAGAGGCCUGACAGAAGAAGGAGCGGCCCUUGUGACCAGUGCCAAUGGUAAUUAUUGAAAUGAGAGACUCAAAAGAAGAUGGAACGUGAACUUUUUUGUUGUCCCAUGUGGACACCUGUGUUCGGUUUCCAGUUCUACCUUUGCUGUCUGUGUGUUCUUAAGUAACUCACUUAAACCUUUCUGAGUCUCAUUUUCUCGGAGCUUGCAGUGAGCCGAGAUUGCGCCACUGCAGUCCGCAGUCUGGCCUGGGCGACAGAACAAGAGAUAACAAGUGUUGGCGAAAGCAUAGAGGAAAGAGAACCCUUGUACACUGUUGGUUGGAAUGUAAAGUGGUAUAACCUUUACAGAAAACAGUAUGGAGGUUCCUCAAAAAAUUAGAAGCAGAACUACCAUACGAUUCAGCAAUCAGGUUAGAACCUUGAAGAGAGAUCUGCGCCCCAUGUUUAUUACAACACUAUUCACAAUACCCAAGAUAUGGAAACAGCCUAAGUGUCCAGCAACAGAUGAAUGGAUAAAUAAAAUACAUAUAAACAAUGGACUAUUAGCCAUUCAAAAGAAGAAACUCCUGUCCUGGAUAAACCUGGAGGACAUUACGCUAAGUGAAAUAAGCCAGACACCGAAAGACAAGUUUUGUAUGAUCUCACUUAUAUGUGGGAUCUAAGAGAGUCAAACUCAUAAAAACAGAUAGUAGAAUGGUGGUUGCCAAGGGCUGGAGGUGGGGAAAAUGGGAAGCUAUUAAUCAAAGGGUGUAAACUUUCAGUUAUAAGAUGAACAAAUUCUGGAGAUUUAAUGUACAGCAUAGGUGGUAAUGGAUGUAAUAAAUUUGAUUGUGAUAAUUAGUACACAAUAUAUACAUAUAUGAAAUCAUCACAUUGUAUGCAUUAAAUAUACACAAUCCUUGUCAACUCAAUAUUUUUAAAAAAAUGUUUAAAAUGCCUAGGUCAUAAGAAUUCUGAGAAUGAAAUACAACAACAUACAUGAAUGGACCUGCUAC